rnacentral:rRNA from 1 species
GACGAACGCUGGCGGCGUGCUUAACACAUGCAAGUCGAGCGGUAAGGCCCUUUCGGGGGUACGACGAGCGGCGAACGGGUGAGUAACACGUGGGUGACCUGCCCUCAGCUCUGGGAUAAGCCUGGGAAACCGGGUCUAAUACUGGAUAUGACUCCAUGACGCAUGUUGUGGGGUGGAAAGCCUUGUGCGGCUGAGGAUGGGCCCGCGGCCUAUCAGCUUGUUGGUGGGGUGAGGCCUACCAAGGCGACGACGGGUAGCCGGCCUGAGAGGCGACCGGCCACACUGGGACUGAGACACGGCCCAGACUCCUACGGGAGGCAGCAGUGGGGAAUCUUGCGCAAUGGGCGAAAGCCUGA